CCUACGGGAGGCAGCAGUAGGGAAUCUUUCACAAUGGGCGAAAGCCUGAUGGAGCAACGCCGCGUGCAGGAUGAAGGCCUUCGGGUUGUAAACUGCUUUUAUAAGCGAGAAAUAUGAUGGUAACUUAUGAAUAAGGAUCGGCUAACUACGUGCCAGCAGCCGCGGUCAUACGUAGGAUCCGAGCAUUAUCCGGAGUGACUGGGUGUAAAGAGUUGCGUAGGUGGCAUAAUAAGUAGCUAGGGAAAUCUGGUGGCUCAACCAUUCAGACUAUUAGCUAAACUGUUAAGCUCGAGACCGUUAGGGGUAACUGGAAUUGCUAGUGUAGGAGUGAAAUCCGUAGAUAUUAGAAGGAACACCAAUAGCGUAGGCAGGUUGCUGGGACGGUUCUGACACUAAGGCACGAAAGCGUAGGGAGCAAACGGGAUUAGAUACCCCUGUAGUC
rnacentral:rRNA from 1 species